rnacentral:rRNA from 1 species
UUGGGAAUCUUGCACAAUGGGGGAAACCCUGAUGCAGCGACGCCGCGUGGAGGAUGAAGGGUCUAGGCCUGUAAACUCCUUUUAUCGGGAAAGACUUAGGACGGUACCCGAUGAAUAAGGACCGGCUAACUACGUGCCAGCAGCCGCGGUAAGACGUAGGGUCCAAGCGUUGUCCGGAUUUACUGGGCGUAAAGAGCGCGUAGGCGGCUCGUUAAGUGUGAAGUGAAAUCUCUAGGGCUCAACCCAGAAACUGCUUUACAUACUGGCGAGCUAGAGGGAUGCAGAGGUUUGUGGAAUUCCUGGUGUAGCGGUGAAAUGCGUUGAUAUCAGGAGGAACACCCAUGGCGAAGGCAGCAAACUGGGCAUCAUCUGACGCUGAGGCGCGAAAGCGUGGGUAGCAAACAGGAUUAGAUACCCCUGUAGUCC